AACGAACGCUGGCGGCAGGCUUAACACAUGCAAGUCGAGCGCCCCGCAAGGGGAGCGGCAGACGGGUGAGUAACGCGUGGGAAUCUACCCAUCUCUACUGAAUAACGCAUGGAAACGUGUGCUAAUACCGUAUACGUCCUUCGGGAGAAAGAUUUAUCGGAGAUGGAUGAGCCCGCGUUGGAUUAGCUAGUUGGUGGGGUAAAGGCCUACCAAGGAGACGAUCCAUAGCUGGUCUGAGAGGAUGAUCAGCCACACUGGGACUGAGACACGGCCCAGACUCCUACGGGAGGCAGCAGUGGGGAAUCUCGGACAAUGGGCGCAAGCCUGAUCCAGCCAUGCCGCGUGAGUGAUGAAGGCCGUAGGGUUGUAAAGCGCUUGCACCGGUGCAGAUAAUGACGGUAACCGGAGAAGAAGCCCCGGCUAACUUCGUGCCAGCCGCCGCAGUAACAC
rnacentral:rRNA from 1 species